CCUACGGGGGGCAGCAGUGGGGAAUAUUGCACAAUGGGGGAAACCCUGAUGCAGCGACGCCGCGUGAGUGAAGAAGUAUUUCGGUAUGUAAAGCUCUAUCAGCAGGGAAGAUAAUGACGGUACCUGACUAAGAAGCCCCGGCUAACUACGUGCCAGCAGCCGCGGUAAUACGUAGGGGGCAAGCGUUAUCCGGAUUUACUGGGUGUAAAGGGUGCGUAGGUGGCAGGGCAAGUCAGAUGUGAAAGCCCGGGGCUCAACCCCGGUACUGCAUUUGAAACUGUCCAGCUGGAGUGCAGGAGAGGUAA
rnacentral:rRNA from 1 species